rnacentral:rRNA from 1 species
UACAGAGGUCCCAAGCGUUGUUCGGAUUCACUGGGCGUAAAGGGUGCGUAGGCGGUCGGGUAAGUCUGUCGUGAAAUCUCCGAGCCCAACUCGGAAACUGCGUCGGAUACUAUUCGGCUAGAGGAAUGGAGGGGAGACUGGAAUUCUCGGUGUAGCAGUGAAAUGCGUAGAUAUCUGGAGGAACACCGGUGGCGAAGGCGGCAUCCUGGACCAACACUGACGCUGAGGAGCGAAAGCCAGGGGAGCAAACGGG